AGAAUUUAAAUUUAGGAGUGCACUCAAGUUACUAGGCAUGGUGUCACAGGGAUGCUGCCUGGUGUCCAGAAGAGGAAGAUGCUGCAAGACUUUCUUCUUCAUAUCCUUCCAGAUGCCCCAGGUGUCUACAUGAACACUGGCUCUGAAAGAACUUGUCAGCUCAUCUCAUCCCAUCUGAGAAAUGGAGACAAAGAGUUGAACCCUGGACUGUCUCCUGUCUCAGGGAUGACUACUCAAGCCCACCUUCCAAGUUUAUCCACAAGGACACAGCUAUUUGGAAGUGGCCUUUGCUCAGACAAAUCCUUCCAGAAAGCUUUCAUUGCCAUCCUGCAAUAA
rnacentral:lncRNA from 1 species